AGAGUUUGAUCCUGGCUCAGGACGAACGCUGGCGGCGUGCCUAAUACAUGCAAGUCGAACGCACUCUCGUUUAGAUUGAAGGAGCUUGCUCCUGAUUGAUAAACAUUUGAGUGAGUGGCGGACGGGUGAGUAACACGUGGGUAACCUGCCCUAAAGUGGGGGAUAACAUUUGGAAACAGAUGCUAAUACCGCAUAAAACCUAACACCGCAUGGUGUAGGGUUGAAAGAUGGUUUCGGCUAUCACUUUAGGAUGGACCCGCGGUGCAUUAGUUAGUUGGUGAGGUAAAGGCUCACCAAGACCGUGAUGCAUAGCCGACCUGAGAGGGUAAUCGGCCACACUGGGACUGAGACACGGCCCAGACUCCUACGGGAGGCAGCAGUAGGGAAUCUUCCACAAUGGACGAAAGUCUGAUGGAGCAACGCCGCGUGAGUGAAGAAGGUUUUCGGAUCGUGAAACUCUGUUGUUGGAGAAGAAUGUAUCUGAUAGUAACUGAUCAGGUAGUGACGGUAUCCAACCAGAAAGCCACGGCUAACUACGUGCCAGCAGCCGCGGUAAUACGUAGGUGGCAAGCGUUGUCC
rnacentral:rRNA from 1 species